GAUGAACGCUGGCGGCGUGCCUAAUACAUGCAAGUCGAGCGAACAGACGAGGAGCUUGCUCCUCUGACGUUAGCGGCUGACGGGUGAGUAACACGUGGAUAACCUACCUAUUAGACUUGGAUAACUUCGUGAAACCGGAGCUAAUACCGGAUAAUAUAUUGAACCGCAUGGUUCAAUAGUUCAAGACGGUUUUGCUGUCACUUAUAGAUGGAUCCGCGCUGCAUUAGCUAGUUGGUAAGGUAACGGCUUACCAAGGCAACGAUGCGUAGCCGACCUGAGAGGGUGAUCGGCCACACUGGAACUGAGACACGGUCCAGACUCCUACGGGAGGCAGCAGUAGGGAAUCUUCCGCAAUGGGCGAAAGCCUGACGGAGCAACGCCGCGUGAGUGAAGAAGGUCUUCGGAUCGUAAAACUCUGUUAUUAGGGAAGAACAAAUGUGUAAGUAACUAUGCACGUCUUGACGGUACCUAAUCAGAAAGCCACGGCUAACUACGUG
rnacentral:rRNA from 1 species